GGCCUCAUAGCUCAGUUGGCUAGAGCGUUGGCUUAACUAGCGUUGGUUCAAAUCCCACCGAGGCCG
rnacentral:tRNA from 1 species